CUCCGGGGUGGCCGAGGAGGGCGCGGGUUCCGGCUUGGGCUCGGGGGUGGUGUCCGGCUUGGGUUCCGGUUUCGGUUCGGGUG
rnacentral:tRNA from 1 species